GUCUGGAAAAGCACAAUCUGCACCAUGGCCUGGGCUCCUCUCCUGCUCACACUUGUGGCUCACAUCACAGGGGCUGCAUCACAGGCUGUGGUGACUCAGGAAUCUUCCCUGUCCACAACUCCUGGAGGGACGGUCACACUCACCUGUGGCUCCAGUACUGGAGCUGUCACAACCAGUAACUAUGCUGCUUGGGUACAACAGAAGCCCUACCAAGCAUCCCAGGGUCUAAUAGGUGACACUAGCAACCGGGUGCCUGGGAUCCCUGCCCGAUUCUCAGGCUCCCUGCUUGGAAACAAGGCUGCCCUCACCAUCACAGGAGCCCAGCCUGAAGAUGAGGCCAGCUAUUACUGUGCCCUGUGGUACAGCAGCCAUUUCCACAGUGACACAGGCAUAUGGGGAAGUGAGACAAGAACACCCUUGUUCAGACUCAUCCUCUGCUUCUCAGCACCUCCUUGCAUACAAAUACAAGACAAGGAAUUAUGUCUAGAAUCUGAGAGAGAUGUGAAUCUUUGGGGACUAGAGAAGGGACCAUGGUAG